rnacentral:rRNA from 1 species
UACGUAGGGGGCAAGCGUUGUUCGGAAUUACUGGGCGUAAAGGGCGCGUAGGCGGCCCGGCAAGUCAGGAGUGAAAGCCCUGGGCUCAACCCGGGAACUGCUUUUGAAACUGCCGAGCUAGAGUGCGGAAGGGGCAACUGGAAUUCCCAGUGUAGCGGUGAAAUGCGUAGAUAUCAAGAGGAACACCUGAGGUGAAGACGGGUUGCUGGGCCGACACCGACGCUGAUGCGCGAAAGCCAGGGAAGCAAACGGG